ACUACUACAGUAGAACCCACAACGGUUCCUCCAUGCAGUAAUAUUAUAAAUACAAUACCUGGAGAAUUUAUAUAUAUGAUUGGUGAUGGUGAUGAUGAGUGCUGGAAUGAUAUACAUUUAGAGAUUAAAUUCGUUGAAAAUGGAAUUUACAAAAUAACAUCGGUGAAAGUCACAAUUACGGAUGAUGAUGUCGAUAAAUUAAUGGAUGGUGAUGAAAAAUACAAGAUCUUCUAUAAUUACGAUUCCGACGACGAAGGAGAAAUUGAGGUAAGGAACCAUAUUAUGUAUUAACAUUUUCCGCUCCUCGAGAAUGUUUUUAAAAUGCUAAUUCCGCUCCGAUGCAUUUUUUUGUAAAAAAGUGAUAAUUUGUUUUUUCGCUAUGACUUUUCUUUGGCUGAUUGAUACGAA
rnacentral:lncRNA from 1 species